GAGUUUGAUCCUGGCUCAGGACGAACGCUGGCGGCGUGCCUAAUACAUGCAAGUCGAACGAAGCUUUCUUUCACCGAAUGCUUGCAUUCACCGAAAGAAGCUUAGUGGCGAACGGGUGAGUAACACGUAGGCAACCUGCCCAAAAGAGGGGGAUAACACUUGGAAACAGGUGCUAAUACCGCAUAACCAUGAACACCGCAUGAUGUUCAUGUAAAAGACGGCUUUUGCUGUCACUUUUGGAUGGGCCUGCGGCGUAUUAACUUGUUGGUGGGGUAACGGCCUACCAAGGUGAUGAUACGUAGCCGAACUGAGAGGUUGAUCGGCCACAUUGGGACUGAGACACGGCCCAAACUCCUACGGGAGGCAGCAGUAGGGAAUCUUCCACAAUGGACGAAAGUCUGAUGGAGCAACGCCGCGUGAAUGAAGAAGGCCUUCGGGUCGUAAAAUUCUGUUGUCAGAGAAGAACGUGCGUGAGAGUAACUGUUCACGUAUUGACGGUAUCUGACCAGAAAGCCACGGCUAACUACGUGCCAGCAGCCGCGGUAAUACGUAGGUGGCGAGCGUUGUCCGGAUUUAUUGGGCGUAAAGGGAACGCAGGCGGUCUUUUAAGUCUGAUGUGAAAGCCUUCGGCUUAACCGAAGUAGUGCAUUGGAAACUGGAAGACUUGAGUGCAGAAGAGGAGAGUGGAACUCCAUGUGUAGCGGUGAAAUGCGUAGAUAUAUGGAAGAACACCAGUGGCGAAAGCGGCUCUCUGGUCUGUAACUGACGCUGAGGUUCGAAAGCGUGGGUAGCAAACAGGAUUAGAUACCCUGGUAGUCCACGCCGUAAACGAUGAGUGCUAAGUGUUGGAGGGUUUCCGCCCUUCAGUGCUGCAGCUAACGCAUUAAGCACUCCGCCUGGGGAGUACGACCGCAAGGUUGAAACUCAA
rnacentral:rRNA from 1 species